UACGAAGGGGGCUAGCGUUGCUCGGAAUCACUGGGCGUAAAGGGUGCGUAGGCGGGUCUUUAAGUCAGGGGUGAAAUCCUGGAGCUCAACUCCAGAACUGCCUUUGAUACUGAGGAUCUUGAGUUCGGGAGAGGUGAGUGGAACUGCGAGUGUGGAGGUGAAAUUCGUAGAUAUUCGCAAGAACACCAGUGGCGAAGGCGGCUCACUGGCCCGAUACUGACGCUGAGGCACGAAAGCGUGGGGAGCAAACAGG
rnacentral:rRNA from 1 species